UGCCGUUGUUUUGUUUUGGAUUGUAGUUUGUAACUUCAUCUCAACAAUUUAGCAAUUAUCUGGCCAUUUUUACGUUGAGUUGAGCAACUGCUUCUCCGUUCUCUAUCUGUUGAUACUACUUUCGCGAAAGGACGCUUUAUUAAUUGUGUUGUGUGUACGUGUUUUAUUGAAAAUGACGAGUUUGCAAUGCAUCAAUUGCUAUGUUCGCUUGUCCCGAAGAAGAAGACACGCUUUAUCCAAUGACGGUGAAGAUAUCGUCAACACUAUUCGUCUGUGGACAUAUCUUAGAGAUGUAAGUAGUUUCCACAUAACAUUGUGUGUACGAAUGGGCCAUAGUUACGAACUUCAAUAACUUUUACGUGAGAUAUCACACUAAAUAAACACAUAAGUAAUCGGUAACAUGUAUUAUUUACUUGCCUUACUUGGUUUGCAUAACACUGUUAUAAUUUAUUAGUACCUAUUAUUUUGUUUAAUGGUGAGCCAUACUCAAAAUCAUUUAAUUAUUUCUAGAUUACACCAGAUGACCAUGUUUACCAUGAAUGCUGGCAGCUAGCUAGUCAUUCGUGUUCUUCUGAUAAUAUGCCGAGAAGACACAUAGGACAUCAGUGUUUGUGUUGUAUGUGGACAAUCCAUACUAAGAAUCAGGCAAUGCAGAAUUUUGAUUGAAGAAGAACAAAGAACGGCUUACACAAUGGCUACUUGGAUCAAACCACAACAGCUUCAUCCUGAAGAUAAAGCUUGUGUGCGGUGUUGGUUAAGAGUGAGAACUAAGGAUACUUCACUAAAUGAAGAUAUUCAAUCCGUUGAACCUAUAAUCAGCAGGAAAGUGAUAAUUCUGAACUGAUGUGUGCUGCAUGUGGUCAAAGUCUUACUCCCAACAACACUGCUUGUUUGUUGGAGCACCAGCAGACACCUUCGAUGAAUGAAGUUUGUGAAGUUUGCUGGGGCCAAGUAUGCAAUUUGAGCUUCUAUGUUCCAGAUGGUCUAUGUUGCUUCAAGCUAAAAUAAAGUCCUGCCACUCUUCUCCUAGAACUUAUUUUGUUUUCAUAGUUGCAGAAACAAAUAUGAAUAGCCGGGACACAAUCAAAAGUGAUUGCUGUAAUUGUAUUGUAGGUUUAAGAACAGUGGGAUGCUGCUCACAUAUUAUGAGCAUUCUUUGGUAUUUGAGUUAUGCUUGCUAUGAGGGUAUGACCCGACCUGCCCCUUUCUUGGAUGAAGUAAUAUUAAGAACCAAUCAAGUAAUUAUAGGAAAAUAAAGUAAAUGUAUUUCUACAAAAA